ensembl:lncRNA
CAAACAGUUAUUAUGCUUGUCAGUUCACAGUGGGGUUAGGCCAAAGACGUCAUUAAAUUUCUCUCAGGGCUAAACGAGGUUUUAAUGGGUCUGUUAGAGUCAUCAGAAGAACCUAUGGAGACAGGAUUUUUUUUAAUUUUAUUUUACCUGAUAGAUUUUACAGUACCAUUUGUCGCAGCAGCCUUGGAGUGCACUCCCAGAUGAACAUACAUCAUUGCUUCAUGUAGGCUGAGAACUGGUGGAGCUGGUAGAACUGGUGGAGCUGCUCAGCGGCCAGUAGCUCUAUACUUACUUCCUCCUCCUACCAUUAUUCUUCAAAUGUGAUUUCAUUUACAUCAACAGCCACUAAGCCAACGUGUACUGAAUGAUUGUGUUUACAUCAGCGCUAACUUUGAUUGUAAAUUUUUUUGAUUUAGUUGCAGUCGUAGUCUUUUGACUAGAACAUCAUUUAGUUUUCUUUUAGUUUCAAUCGACUAAAUAUCAUAAGAUCAUAGUAGACUAAAUCUAAAGUUGAUUCAGUUGAAUAAAAUAUAAAGUGUUAAAGUUUGCCGUGGUUUUACCAGUGUGAGUUGCUCCAUGAUUUAGAAAGCGUUUCAUUUUCCUUGAUAUCAAAUGUGAAAUGUGUCCAUGUGUCUGCUCUUGCCUUCUUCCCAAGCACUGACAUUUGGUUGUAUUUUUCAUGAGAAACAGGGAGCAAGCGUGUUAGCAGAACCCUCCCACCCAGAUCAAACUGUGCGUGUCUAACCUUACCGCAGACAGACUGCUUCUGACUGGAGGACUUCCGAGCUUGUGCCGCCUUUCUACACAACCUAAUUGGUUCUGAUUGGAUCGUCUCUCCAGAAUGUUUUCAUUUAAUUUUUAUUAGUUGACGAAAGUGUCAGUACCUUUCAUCAUAGUUUUUGUACUCAUGCAUUCAUUUUGAUUUAGUUAUCCUCUUGCUUUCACUGAAAAAAAGAAAAGAAAAAGCAAUUGAUGAAAAAUAUGACAAAAAUUAUUAGUCAACGAAAUUAACACUGGUUUACAUGAUGUUAUUUGGCUUAAAUAACGCUGAAGUCUACAUUAACACCAGUAUUGGAAAAUCUUACCCAUAAAAAACUUUGUUACAUUUCUAUUGCUGCUUGUAAGUUCAAGUCCUCAUCCGGUUCUGUUCUAGGGCCUCUACUUUUUCUGCUGUUUAUAUCUGCUCCCUCUUCAGGACAUUUUGGACAUUUUUAAGAACUGCUAUGCACUGCUAAGCAGGUGACAUUCAGUUUCAACACAUUCCGUUUAGUUUUAAGAUAUUUCUAAGCAGCCACCCUAUGAUAGCUGGGAUAGGCACCAGCUCCCCCACAACCCUGAGAAUAUGUGGAAGACAGUGGAUGGAUAUUUCUGAGCUUCGGAUCUUGCAAAGAUUUGGUAUUGGAAACUCCAGGUUCCUUUGCCACUUUUGCUAUAUCUUCUAUCAGGAACCUACAGGCGUGAUUACAAGUAAAGACAGAAAUCAGCCACCUGGUACAACCACUUCACUGUAUUAGAAAUCUCAGUCUAGAGCUACUUGGCGCCUUGACCUCAUCACCCUGCAUAUUCAUCACACUGGAUAAUUAGGACUGCAUUCUUGGAAAUAUGUGAUGUUUUGCAAGAACUACAGAUUUAUGGGUAUAGCAUCUGAACAUCGAUAUCAGCUUUAUUUAUGGUAAAAAUGUUGCAAAAUGUACACGCUUGUAGAAUAAAAUGUGAGAACGUGUUAAAAAAAACUUUGAAAUUGUAAUUGAAUAUUUUCCCUUGUAAAAAUGCUUCAGACGCUUGUGUUUAAGUUACUGUAAAAUAAGUAAAUAUCAGUAAAUAUGCCAUUUACUGAAGGUGGUGGAAAUGUUGUGGUUAUAUAAAUUGUUUUGGGUAAAUGUUAAAAAAAAAGAAUAGGGCAUGGAGAGUUUUAAAUUCAGUUAUUAUUAUAAUAAACAUUGACUUUUUCCCAGGGGGGAGAGGGAUACAUUACUAUAAGAAAAUAAAAUAAAUUGCAUUGGAUCAGCCAAAUUAUUAUUUUGUAUAUCAGUACUGGGCCAGUGCAUCCUUAUUAAGCUCCGGGUGUGGGAUUUAAGUGGUUGAUUUAGCCUUAAACAGGAAUUUCCUCUUGGAUACUUCAUCCAUAAAAUAAUCAUCCACAGUUUAUAUGCUGGUGUGUAACACGUCACAAUAAAAUGACAAUAUUUUGAUGAUGGUUUUAUCUGUACUGAGCUUCCUGUCUUGGCAAAGCACACAGAAACAGUGCAGGGAGCAAAGCUGCAGGUUUUAAUAACAGUGUUUUGAACAGUCGCCUCAGACUCUCGCAGCUGCUUAUGAAUUGGUCAUAAGGAUGCUUUCUGUUUGUUACUCUAGAUGAUCCCUAAGUUGGGACUGCUCCAGCUGCUAAGAUUUAAGGAGAAAUUAAAGUCAGAAGACACCAGGUGCAUGAGAACAGACGAGAAAAAUGAUUUGUUGGUGAACAAUUCGAUCCCUGGACAAAAAAAAAGAAAACUGCCCUUUUAACCUUCAACCAAAGUCCCUACAGAGCGUCUCCAAGGCAGAAAAAUGACUGCUUCAGCUGUGAACAUCUGCGUAUUUGAAUUUG